UAGAGCCUACGGGAGGCAGCAGUGGGGAAUAUUGCACAAUGGGGGGAACCCUGAUGCAGCGACGCCGCGUGAGUGAAGAAGUCAUUCGUGAUGUAAAGCUCUAUCAGCAGGGAAGAAAAUGACGGUACCUGACUAAGAAGUCCCGGCUAACUACGUGCCAGCAGCCGCGGUAAUACGUAGGGGGCAAGCGUUAUCCGGAUUUACUGGGUGUAAAGGGAGCGUAGACGGCAGCGCAAGUCCGAAGUGAUAGCCCGGGGCCCAACCCCGGGACUGCUUUGGAAACUGUGAAGCUGGAGUGCGGGAGG
rnacentral:rRNA from 1 species